UCGCCGCCCCGAACACUUUUCAACACUGAACUUUUGCUGCCGGUGCUCUCUUUGCUAGAGAUGGACACAGCUGUCAUUAAAAAUGCAGUUUUGUUCACUUUAAAUUUUGUUUGAUUACGUUUUAAUAAUUUAAGUGUGACCAGUUGCUAAAAAGGCGAAAAUCUUCUCAUUAUACGACGAUUCUAGGCAUUUUAAGUACCCGGUCACACUGCUCUACUCGUUGCGUUGUUGUCGUGUGCUUUUGUAACUAAAACUCCGUUUUGACAUCACUUUCAUCAUAAUCUGAAUAAAAAUAAUAAUAACAUAAAAAUACAAAACAAAAAAAAAA